rnacentral:tRNA from 1 species
AGCGGGUAUAGUUUAAUGGUAGAACAGUAGCUUCCCAAGCUUCCGACGAGGGUUCGAUUCCCUCUACCCGCUCCAC